AACGCAAAUUCACAGCCAUUCGCAACAUAUUAAGUAUCUUAUCGAGGUUGAACCCUUCCGAGGCGUUCCUGGCCCAUGACACUUUGGAUUUAUGUUGCUGUCCCGACUCGUGUUUGUCUUUCUGUUUAAGAGAGUCCGAGCACGGACUGGGGUAGUAGUUUGGACUGGAGAUCAAAUUUUUAUAGGUCUUGGGUGCAACAAUACUUCUGGCAAGCCUUCGUGCUGGCCUAAGGGAUUACCUUCGUGUGCCCGGAUGAGAAUCGUUGCAAGGACCGAUAAUACAGUU
rnacentral:snoRNA from 1 species